GUAAGCUUUAAGCUGGAGGUCAGAUAAGAGGGGGAGCUUGGCUGGAUGUGAGGCAGAAGAAGCAGGCCUCCAGGUCCCAGGGUCAGGACUAGGGUGCAGGUUGGCCCUGAACCCCAGCAGGUGGUGUCUGCCAGUCCAAAGUCUGUGAGCACCCCACCAAAAGGAGGUGUCUCCAGCAGGCUGUUAACCUUGGAUCACACAGACUCAGAAGGCAACAGCUGCUUGCCUUGCCUGAAAAUGCCUUGUGAUGGUGACUCCAGGACACAGCAAGUCCCUUCAAGGAGCACGAAAUCAAGGUCAGCUGGACUUAUACAAUGUCUUUCUUGCAACUUCUCUCACCAUUCACCCUAACCUCCCCUCCUGCCACAGCAAGUGCAGCAUGUCAUGACUGACAGCAAGUUUGGAAAACAGAAGAGUUUCACAGGGCACUUACGGUCUCCACCAAGUGUACCCUACAACAGGCCACUAAGAUCACGCCUCAGAAACGUGGAAAAGCUUUGAGUCAGCCUUGUUCGAUUUGACGUUUAGGUGCUUUACUCUUGUUCUCUUAGAAUAUAUCUCUUUUGUAAGUGAGUUGGUGUAGUGUUCGAAUCCAGAAGGAAUGAUUCUUGACUCCCCUUUGUAAGCUCUCAGGAGCAUAAGAAAUCGGUUGACAAUUUCCGGUUGUCAAAUUUUUCUAAGAGCAUGAAUGCUUCCAGCAUAGAAUCCCCCAGGUGUGAACUGGCCUGAAAGCUUUUACACCAUCCUUUGCAAGGAAGAUAAGAAGCUUUUCU
rnacentral:lncRNA from 1 species